GCGGUGUCUCCGGCGGUCUUUUCUCAAUCGGAUGGGGAUGACGCUGCCUCGAAGAGAAUGAGGGAUACUCAGUUCCGAUCAUGUCGAUCUCUUCUCCCUCCGACUCCUUCAUUGACUCUCACUUACUCUGUGACGAGGACUCCUCCGGUAUUUUGUCCGGAGAGUCGCCGGAGUACUCCUCUGACCUUGAAUCCCCGGCCAGCAGUGAGGAUUCUAUCGCUACUUUCAUAGAGGACGAGAGACACUUCGUUCCUGGAAUUGAUUACUUGUCGCGCUUUCAGUCUCAA
rnacentral:misc_RNA from 1 species